GUGCUUGUUUCGGUAGCACAUGUACUAAAACUGUAAUCAUUCAGAGAUCUGUCCAUGGCUCCUGGGUAAGGAUGACAUGCAAACCAAUGAAGCAUCCACUAUUAAA
ensembl:snRNA U6 U6 spliceosomal RNA